rnacentral:SRP_RNA from 1 species
GCCGGACGCGGUGGCGCGCCUGUAGUCCCAGCUAUUCGGGAGGCUGAGACGGGGGGAUCGCUUGAGCCCAGGUGUUCUGGACUGCAGUGCGCUACGCCGAUCGGGUGUCCGCACUAAGUUCGGCAUCGAUAUGGUGACCUCCCGGGAGCGGGGGACCACCAGGUUGCCUAAGGAGGGGUGAACCGGCCCAGGUCGGAAACGGAGCAGGUCAAAACUCCCGUGCUGAUCAGUAGUGGGAUCGCGCCUGUGAAUAGCCACUGCACUCCAGCCUGGGCAACAUAGCGAGACCCCGUCUCA